AUUGAACGCUGGCGGCAGGCCUAACACAUGCAAGUCGAGCGGAUGAAGGGAGCUUGCUCCUGGAUUCAGCGACGGACGGGUGAGUAAUGCCUAGGAAUCUGCCUGGUAGUGGGGGACAACGUUUCGAAAGGAACGCUAAUACCGCAUCCGUCCUACGGGAGAAAGCAGGGGACCUUCGGGCCUUGCGCUAGCAGAUGAGCCUAGGUCGGAUUAGCUAGUUGGUGAGGUAAUGGCUCACCAAGGCGACGAUCCGUAACUGGUCUGAGAGGAUGAUCAGUCACACUGGAACUGAGACACGGUCCAGACUCCUACGGGAGGCAGCAGUGGGGAAUAUUGGACAAUGGGCGAAAGCCUGAUCCAGCCAUGCCGCGUGUGUGAAGAAGGUCUUCGGAUUGUAAAGCACUUUAAGUUGGGAGGAAGGGUUGUAGAUUAAUACUCUGCAAUUUUGACGUUACCGACAGAAUAAGCACCGGCUAACUCUGUGCCAGCAGCCGCCGCCG
rnacentral:rRNA from 1 species